UGAGGAAAGGCUUAGUUAAAUACCUUUGGAGAUAUUUCUAGGUUAAUCUCUGCUAAAGAAACAGGAAGUGUGACUAGCACUCAGAGGGACAAGCCCCCAGUGCAAACAUCUUGAGAUGCUUGAGUUGUUAGUAUAUGCAUUUUGGCCCUUCCUCCAGCUUUGCUGUCCUAUUUGCUAACAGCAAUGCACUCUAGGCCUCCUGCACAGUAAUGCAGUAAUGCUUGAAGUAAAUACGAGCUUGGCAGAUAGCUGAAGCAGUUUUCCUAAAGGUUCUGUUGGGGAAAAGGUAAAAGUAACUCCAGAAAUUCUAUUUAGAACAGAGAUAACACUUAGCUUUUCCAAACUUGUUAAUAACAGGGUCUUGAUUUUUUGUUUCUUCAGGGCUAAUGUGGAGUAGAAUGGAGACAAUAGCCUGUGCUACAGGCCUGUAACUGUACUGAAGGAAAACAUGAGUCAGCAAUGAUUAGUCCUUGUUACUACCCUGUGUUGGUGUGGUCAAGGCUUCUCAGUGUGGGGUGGGACAAGGUUUCUCCAUAACCCAGUUAUGCACAGGAGCUCUCAAGCAGUGAGCUUCUGGGUUCUCUCAUUUGUUUGACCUAUCACACUUGGGGAACAGGAACAGCACUCCUUUCUUGCAUAAGGUGACAUAAGAAUAAAACUGUGCCUAAGGUGAGCUAAUGUGAUGUAUAAAUCUCUCUUAGUGGUUACCUGUUAAGAAGAAUACAGCUACUCAAAAUGUUUCUGUUGACUUGGAUGCAUUGCUUAUUCUUCUUUCUUGUAGACCAUGCUUCCUCUGCGUACACUUCUUCCUCCAACCUGCAUGGAGGCAUCAGUGUGCUUGGGUAGUUCCCCUUCAUUGUGGUGCCUGCCUCCUUCCAGAUGCCAGAACAACAAGGCUGUGUGCCCUGCAAAGGAUGACUGCCUGCUGAUAAGAGAAAAGCAGAGGGCCAGAAGCAAUGCUAAAGGUGCUCAUCAACAGCCAGCCUGCCUUGGUGACCUGCAGGAUUGCGGAAACCUUCUCUGCCACCCUCUCCAGGCUCUGCUGGAAGUUCUGUGCCAGAAGUGAUUUCAGGAGCUUUUUCCAGACAACGGUGCUGCAAAACUUCUGAAGGGAACAGCCAGAAACCAUCCUUUGAUUGCUGUGUGCUUCACCUCUUUGAAUUAAGUAAGCUGAUAUUAUGCAUUAACAAGAAGUGACUUUCAUCUAUAAAAGAAAAUCCUCACAAACCAGGUGAGCUCCGUCGUCCAUCAGUGUCCAGUCCUUUGUGUUAAUGUGGCAUGGAGCCCUGGUUCUCAGAUGUGCUUAUAAAUGGACAGUACUUGAGGAAGGAAGCAAGGGUGAGGAGUCACCACUGGUUCAAGUUUGUGUGUGGAUCCUCCAGUGCAUUUCUGGUUGUGAAUUUACUUCCCUCCAGCUGUGACAACAUCAGUGUAAUUCUAAAUGUUGGGGUUGUUCCUGUAACUGUAUAUAUUGCUAAUUGAAGUUACCUAGUUAGGUAUAUAAUUGCUUUGCACUGAGCUUUCCUGGCUGUAGCCUAGGGUCAUUUUGCUAAGUGUUACCGAUGACUUGCUGUUCAGAGAGUCUGAAUAAGUAAAGCUCAGUUUGCGGAAGGAGGUCUCUACCCCGCUGUCACAUGUGCUUUCAGUGUCUUGAAAUUUGUGAUUAUAAAGUUCACCUGAGAGAGAGAGAAGGGAAAUCAAUUAGUUUGUUUUACUUCAGUGACAUCCUGAAAGGCCAGAGGAAUACAAAGCAACAGGUUACAACUCUUGUAUAAGAAAACAACUGUACCUUUAUGUACUGCUAGUGGAAAAGGCUGUGCUAUCAGCACAGGGUGAAUGUUUUCAGUUGAACAGAGCAUGUGAGCUGAUGCACUGCUGUCACAGAUCAACUGCAGGCAGCAUUUGGGUGAGAUGCGAAGCCUGCUGUGCUGCUGACAUUAAUACUGUCACUGCAUUGGAGUCAGGACUCUGCCCCAGUGUGGUAGCAGCAGGGCAAGAAGUUCUCUGCAUCUCAGAUGCAUGGACUGUGCAAGUAUGCAGCUCCAGGAUGAGGCUCCUUAAAAUUCUCAUGUUAUUUCAAUUGCUGAUUUUUUAGGUGUUUGUCUUGAACAAUUUUCACCUAGUUAUUAAAAGUGAGACUGAAAUAUAUAAAGCUGUCAUGUGUAUAAGCUUCAUAAUAUAAGCACCUGAUUGCAAGAGAACUGUAUCAGAGUUGAAGUGAAUAGAACAGCAGCCGUGUAUUACAGAGCCAAGUGGUAUUUUUCUAAACAUCUGUUUUAAAAAAAAAGAUGACAUUCAUAUUGCAAAGUAGCAGAAACUCCCUUCCUCUUUAAGAACAGUCUGAAGAGGUAUUAUGUACAAACACAUUUUUGAAAGGUGCAAGUGUUUGUUCCAUGACUAGCACAGUUAGACCAGGUCGGAGUUGCUAUGGUUGAUUCUUUAAGAAGUUUAUGAACCCCAAACAUCUGUGUUUGUCUAGACUGGGUGGAAGAAAGGGGCAAGCGAAAAUAUAAUGGGAACGUGUAUAAACCUGUGAAUUCAUUCCCUAAUUUAUCUUUUAAACAUCUAAGGUUUAUAUCAGUAAGUGGCAGAUGCCCACUUUAAGGAAAAAGGAGCCAGUUCUACUCAAUACUGUAGUUCAGGGCUGCAAGUUAAAAUCAUCCAUUUUUCCUCUUUCCUGUGCAUCUAGCAAAUGUCAACUGAGAAAGCUCUACAUGGUAGGUAAGCAGAAACAGGUAAGGAGCUCAGAUGUGAUGCAUAAGGAACUGCUGUCUUAUUAGCAUUCCAAACCAAGGCGGGAGAACUAAGAAAUGUUAAUUUUACCUGUCUCUCCCUUUGCAAAAUUGGCUGGUGAUGAUGAAGGAAAAGUUUCUAUUGUGUUGUCCUCCUGGUGAGACUGACUUUGUGAACUCCAUAGUGCUUUCUGAAUUACUUCAAUAGCUUCUGUGUGAUCCAUUUGUCUCAAAGCAGCAAUCAGCUCUUGAACUGUACCUCCAGAAAUCUAAGAGAGAAGACAGCAGAUGCUCACAGCUUCAUCCUGGCUAGCUAAAACCAAAGGACUGCGGAGUCUCACUGUGCAGAAUAAAAUUCACUGCACAUCUGCAUGUUCUUUAUAACUAACUUGUUUACAGCCACAUUACCUUAUAGUUAUCUAGCAGAGUUUUCGAAGGUGAAGGGCUCAACCUGAAGGCAUUGUUAAGAAUGCCAAGACCCAGCUUUUCUGCUAGAGUAGACCAGUUCUUGCUUGGAUCAGGUGUUUCCAAUAGCUUGUAAAGCUGCUUCUUGGAGUUUUCAUUCAGCUCUCUCAGAGGGCCUAGGGAACAGAAAAAUAUGUCUGUUAUUUACAUGAGUCACACACCAGUUCAUUUCUAAGCAGAAGCAAAGCCAAAUUAAAAACUGUUUAUUUCAGCA